GACGAACGCUGGCGGCGUGCCUAAUACAUGCAAGUCGAACGAACCGCGACUAAGUGCUUGCACUAAGUCAAGGUGAGUGGCGAACGGGUGAGUAACACGUGGGUAACCUACCUCAUAGUGGGGGAUAACAGUCGGAAACGACUGCUAAUACCGCAUAGGACAUAGGAUCACAUGAUCCAGUGAGGAAAGGUGGCGCAAGCUAUCGCUAAGAGAUGGACCCGCGGUGCAUUAGCUAGUUGGUAGGGUAAAGGCCUACCAAGGCGAUGAUGCAUAGCCGACCUGAGAGGGUGAUUGGCCACAUUGGGACUGAGACACGGCCCAAACUCCUACGGGAGGCAGCAGUAGGGAAUCUUCCGCAAUGGACGCAAGUCUGACGGAGCAACGCCGCGUGAGUGAAGAAGGUCUUCGGAUCGUAAAGCUCUGUUGUUAGAGAAGAACAGCGCAUAGAGUAACUGCUAUGCGUGUGACGGUAGCUAACCAGAAAGCCACGGCUAACUACGUG
rnacentral:rRNA from 1 species